rnacentral:lncRNA from 1 species
UGUUUUUCACACAUGUUUUCACGUAGAAACAAUUUCAACUCAUCUCAAAUUCUUUCAGAACCUCUCAAAUGACAUUGUACGUUAUUCUACUCCACACUUUAGUAAUUUGCAAAAUUCAGUGUAGUAUAAAAAUUUUCAUACUAAACAAUUUAUUAUUAUACAACUUAUUUCAAUACUUAAUGCCUUAAACUUGCAAUUGGAACCACAUACACUUGUUGCCAACAUACGUAGAAUCUCCAGCAAGCCCAAAAAGUCCCGCACUAAGCAGUUAGUGCAUGAAUAACGUUUAUAUCUGUAUCUGCAUAAUAUAUGUUGUGGAUGAUAUUUUUUUCUUAAGCUGACACAUGCUCUAUAAUAUUUUUUUUUUUUUUUUUGAGAGAGAAAGGUAGCAUGCUGCACUCUUCGUUUAUUUUUUUAGAAAUAAAUUUAGCUAAAAAUAUAAAUCAAUUAUGAUUCGAAUUUGAAAUCUUGAAUAUCAAUCACCAAAUCUUUUGUCACUUGCACCAGAGACGGUCAAUUGGGGUCCAUUUAGUAUCACGAGAGAUCCAAAUAAAGAAUUAUUGUUG